AUUACCAGAAUGCAGCGGCGAGAU
rnacentral:siRNA from 1 species